ACCCAGCACACCCACCUCAGC
rnacentral:misc_RNA from 1 species